CCUACGGGAGGUAGCAGUGGGGAAUAUUGCACAAUGGGCGGAAGCCUGAUGCAGCGACGCCGCGUGAGGGAUGACGGCCUUCGGGUUGUAAACCUCUUUCAGCAUCGACGAAGCCUUUAUGGUGACGGUAGGUGCAGAAGAAGCGCCGGCCAACUACGUGCCAGCAGCCGCGGUAAGACGUAGGGCGCGAGCGUUGUCCGGAUUUAUUGGGCGUAAAGAGCUCGUAGGCGGCUCGUCGCGUCGGCUGUGAAAACCCGUGGCUCAACUGCGGGCUUGCAGCCGAUACGGGCGGGCUGGAGUUCGGUAGGGGAGACUGGAAUUCCUGGUGUAGCGGUGAAAUGCGCAGAUAUCAGGAGGAACACCGGUGGCGAAGGCGGGUCUCUGGGCCGAUACUGACGCUGAGGAGCGAAAGCGUGGGGAGCGAACAGGAUUAGAUACCC
rnacentral:rRNA from 1 species